rnacentral:rRNA from 1 species
ACACGACUACAUUAGAUACCCCCGUAGUCCAGGGUGUAAACGCUGCGGGCUUGGUGUUGGGGGUCCUUUGAGGGCGCCCAGUGCCGGAGAGAAGUUGUUAAGCCUGCCGCCUGGGAAGUACGGUCGCAAGGCUGAAACUUAAAGGAAUUGGCGGGGAGCACCACAACGGGUGGAGCCUGCGGUUUAAUUGGACUCAACGCCGGAAAUCUCACCGGAUAGGACAGACAUAUGAUAGUCGGGCUGAAGACUCUACUUGAUGAUCUG